GGGGGACCCACAACGGGUCAGUACCAGGCUUCACCCACCCUCCCUCGACACCAACUCUUUGAUGCUGUCAUUGCUGUCGUCAUCUUGCUUGUGAAUCAGAUUUAGCCUGACUGUCGUAGGAUGUGAAUGAAUGUUGGGCUUGACUUCAGCGCCGGCUCUGCAGAACUUUGUAGCCAUGAGGAAACACUUCUGCACCAAUGGCCAGCCCUCUCCCACACCAGGCUGACCUCUCAAAAGCCAUUUGAUAUAAAGCUGGUGCCAAGAGACAGACAAGUAUCAGUACUAUGUGUUGCUUCUGUGAGGAUCUCAUGAGACGUUUCUGCCAUU